CAGUAGCCACGGUAAUACGAAGGGUGCAAGCGUUACUCGGAAUUACUGGGCGUAAAGCGUGCGUAGGUGGUUGUUUAAGUCUGCUGUGAAAGCCCUGGGCUCAACCUGGGAAUUGCAGUGGAUACUGGGCGACUAGAGUAAGGUAGAGGAUAGUGGAAUUUCCGGUGUAGCAGUGAAAUGCGUAGAGAUCGGAAGGAACAUCUGUGGCGAAGGCGACUAUCUGGGCCAACACUGACACUGAGGCACGAAAGCGUGGGGAGCAAACAGGAUUAGAGACCCGUGUAGUCCCUGUCUCUUAUAC
rnacentral:rRNA from 1 species